UCCGGUUGAUCCUGCCGGACCCCACUGCUAUCGGGAUAAGGACUAAGACAUGCUAGUCGUGUGCCUCAGCCAAAACGAGGCACGGCGCACAGCUCAGUAACACGUGGCUAACCUGCCCUUAGAACGAGAAUAACCCCGGGAAACUGGGGCUAAUGCUCGAUAGGUGAAGAACUCUGGAAUGAGUCUUCACUUAAAAGAGUCUGCGUUAUGCUCGUAGAUUUCGCUUAAGGAUGGGGCCGCGACCGAUCAGGUUGUUGGUGAGGUAAUGGCUCACCAAGCCUUUUACCGGUGCGGGCCGUGAGAGCGGGAGCCCGGAGAUGGGCACUGAGACAAGGGCCCAGGCCCUACGGGGCGCAGCAGUCGCGAAAACUUUGCAAUACACGAAAGUGUGACAGGGCUAUCCCGAGUGCCAUCCGCUGAGGAAGGCUUUUACCCAGUCUAGAACGCUGGGGGAAUAAGGAGAGGGCAAGUCUGGUGUCAGCCGCCGCGGUAAUACCAGCUCUCCGAGUGGUGUGGAUGUUUAUUGGGCCUAAGCAUCCGUAGCUGGCUAAGUUAGUCCCCUGUUAAAUCCAACGAAUUAAUCGUUGGAUCGCGGGGGAUACUGCUCGGCUAGGGGACGAGAGAGGCAGACGGUAUUUCCGGGGUAGGGGUGAAAUCCUAUAAUCCCGGGAAGACCACCAGUGGCGAAGGCUGUCUGCUAGAACGCGCCCGACGGUGAGGGAUGAAAGCUGGGGGAGCGAACCGGAUUAGAUACCCGGGUAGUCCCAGCUGUAAACGAUGCAGGCUAGGUGUUUGGACGGCCACGUGCCGUUUCUAGUGCCGCAGGGAAGCUGUUUAAGCCUGCCGCCUGGGGAGUACGAUCGCAAGAUUGAAACUUAAAGGAAUUGGCGGGGGAGCACCACAAGGGGUGAAGCUUGCGGUUUAAUUGGAGUCAACGCCGGA
rnacentral:rRNA from 1 species